rnacentral:rRNA from 1 species
UACAGAGGGGGCGAGCGUUGUUCGGAAUUACUGGGCGUAAAGGGCGCGUAGGCGGCCAACUAAGUCAGACGUGAAAUCCCCAGGCUCAACCUGGGAACUGCGUCUGAUACUGGAUGGCUCGAAUCCGGGAGAGGGAUGUGGAAUUCCAGGUGUAGCGGUGAAAUGCGUAGAUAUCUGGAGGAACACCGGUGGCGAAGGCGGCAUCCUGGACCGGUAUUGACGCUGAGGCGCGAAAGCCAGGGGAGCAAACGGG